rnacentral:rRNA from 1 species
UGAGGAAUUUUGCGCAAUGGCCGCAAGGCUGACGCAGCAACGCCGCGUGGGUGAUGAAGGCCUUCGGGUCGUAAAGCCCUGUCAGGUGGGAAGAAAGGCCUGGAGAGGAAAGGUUUCAGGUUUGACGGUACCACCAGAGGAAGCACCGGCUAACUCCGUGCCAGCAGCCGCGGUAAUACGGAGGGUGCGAGCGUUAUUCGGAAUUACUGGGCGUAAAGCGCGUGUAGGCGGGGAGACAAGUCUGAUGUGAAAGCCCUGGGCUUAACCUGAGAAGUGCAUUGGAAACUGUUUUUCUUGAGUACUGGAGAGGAAGGGGGAAUUCCCGGUGUAGAGGUGAAAUUCGUAGAGAUCGGGAGGAAUACCAGUGGCGUAGGCGCCCUUCUGGACGGUAACUGACGCUGAGACGCGAAAGCGUGGGGAGCAAACAG